rnacentral:rRNA from 1 species
CUUAGUGACGGACGGGUGAGUAACGCGUGGGUAACCUGCCUUGCACUGGGGGAUAACACUUAGAAAUAGGUGCUAAUACCGCAUAAGCGCACGGUCCUGCAUGGGACAGUGUGAAAAACUCCGGUGGUGCAAGAUGGACCCGCGUCUGAUUAGCUGGUUGGCGGGGUAAAGGCCCACCAAGGCGACGAUCAGUAGCCGGCCUGAGAGGGUGGACGGCCACAUUGGGACUGAGACACGGCCCAAACUCCUACGGAAGGCAGCAG